CUGUGCCCCAGCUCUGCCUGAUUUCAUAAAUCCAGUUUUCCAGAGCAUUUACAAGAUAGCAGAGGUGUGAGAAGAAGUGGUUUGUGCCAACCUAGAGAUUAUUGACAGAAAGUUAGCUGCUCAAAGUGGUGUUUUAAGGAGGAAUCUUAAGGAGGAGAGCCAGCAUCGCCUGGGCUGUUUACUGAUUUAUAACAUUAACCACAAGAGUUAAAAUAAUGACAGUGUCACUGAUGUUGAAGCUGUGCUGAAGUCAUCGGGCCAGGAAGUGAAGUUUCUUGUCAUCGGCCACCCUCUACCAGUGCCUCAUGAUGCCCCCUCUGUUUCACUGGUCAUUUCUCGCUAUACAGCCACUGGCACCAAAAUACCUUUGAGGAGGAAACUACAAAAGUGCUAGGAGGGACUAGACCCCCUCUGUGCUAAGUGACAAUAUCCAGAAGGGUCAGGGUGAGGGACCAAGAGAGGGUGAAACACCUGAAGGCGUGUGUUGAUCCAGGGCCUGCCUAUGAAAUGCUCUACCAGCAGGACCCCAUGAAGCCCCCAGAGAAAACAGAAGUUGCCUUCUUCUGAUGUGGCUGUAAACAAGCUCACUUUGGGGCGUACCUGGAUGCCAAGUUCUCCCUGCAGUCUAGAAGGUAUUGCUGGAGGAAGGCAGGAGCUUAACAUGUCUGGCCUAGCACUUCUGUAAUACUUAGAUGUCUCAGGCAUCAGGUGUUUUUAGGAUGUUAUGUUGCUAACAAUACAACGUUGCUAACAUUAUACUAUUAAUCAAAAAAAAAAAAACUUUGGAAGGUUCAUAUUCUGACUGAUAUAUGAGAGCUAUAGAUCAUAAAAAUAUAAAAUAUAAAUAUCAAUGCCAAAAGAUGAAUCUGGAAGACUGUAACUGAACGUAUGGAUGUGGGAAGCUUUCCAAGAAUUUCAGAGGAUGAAAAGAGAAGUGGAUGCUAAGAGCAAGUUAUUUGUUCUUUGUGUCUCUUGAAGAGCAUUUUGUAAAAUAAACAUAAUAAGAAUAUUUCUCCUGCCAAACCAUUAAAUAAAUGAUGCUUAUAUUUGUCUGUA